AGAAUCAACGCUGGCGGCGUGCCUAACACAUGCAAGUCGCACGAGAAAGGGGAGCAAUCCCUGAGUACAGUGGCGCACGGGUGAGUAACACGUGAAUGAUCUACCUCCGAGUGGGGAAUAACUGAGAGAAAUCUUGGCUAAUACCGCAUAAUACCCACGGGUCAAAGCAGCAAUGCGCUUGGAGAGGAGUUCGCGGCCGAUUAGCUAGUUGGCGGGGUAAUGGCCCACCAAGGCGAUGAUCGGUAUCCGGCCUGAGAGGGCGCACGGACACACUGGAACUGAAACACGGUCCAGACUCCUACGGGAGGCAGCAGUGGGGAAUUUUGCGCAAUGGGGGAAACCCUGACGCAGCAACGCCGCGUGGAGGAUGAAGCCCCUUGGGGUGUAAACUCCUUUCGAUCGGGAAGAUAAUGACGGUACCGAUAUAAGAAGCCCGGCUAACUUCGUGCCAGCAGCCGC
rnacentral:rRNA from 1 species